GUUGGAGUACGAGUCUGUGCUGUGUGUGAAGCCGGACGUCAGCGUCUACCGGAUUCCGCCCCGGGCCUCCAACCGCGGUUACAGGGCAUCUGACUGGAAAUUAGACCAGCCUGAUUGGACUGGUCGCCUCCGAAUCACUUCAAAAGGGAAGACUGCCUAUAUCAAACUCGAGGAUAAAGUUUCAGGGGAGCUCUUUGCUCAGGCACCAGUAGAACAAUAUCCUGGUAUUGCUGUGGAGACAGUGACAGAUUCCAGCCGCUACUUUGUAAUCCGGAUCCAGGAUGGUACUGGAUCACUUCAAGUGAGUGAAGCUUGUCCUUAGUUACGAGGUCGAAUGCUUGUAGGAAUGCUGCUUCUCACGUGAAUGGGCAGUAUCUCUUUUCCUCCUGGUUUCUUUAUUUCUUCAACUAUUUCAUUGUGAAUAUAAAUCUCCUCAUUCACUUUUGUUUCCUUGGGUCAUCUUUGUAUCUAUUCUGUUUCCUUUCCUUAUAGCCUGCAAUAUGUUUUAGAUCCCUUGUGCAGUAGUUUGAAAUGAUGCUCUGUCGAAUGUUGCCCCGUCUUUUAGGUGGUAGAGGGAGGCCUAUGGUAACAGCAGGGCUUUAUGUGGGGAGUUGUGUGCCACUCUUGUUACCUUAUGUAGCUGACAUGUUUUGUGACUUUUGCAACAUUUCUUUAGUCCACUUGAUUUUGGUGCAGCUGUGGUGACAGCACUAUGCACACUGUGAGCUUCCUACCUCAAGAGCAAGCAUAUCUCUCCUUUCCUGCCUCAGGACUCUCUGAAGUUAUAGAAGGCUAAGAGCAAGCUUUAACUUGGAGAGACUAAGAAACUAACACCCCCUCAGGAGCAGCCCUCAACUGUGGGGAAUGGGAAUUGGUGGCUAAAUGCCAUCCUUUUGGAAGAGGCAAUUCUAAUACGUAUUCCUUGAGAUUUCUCAGAGAGUCCCCAGUGGAAUUGAACCCCAGUAGUUUUCUUUCUUGGCUUUUUUCCCUUUUGUUUCUCACUCUUUUUUAUCUCUCACUGUGUUUUCUGGAAUCUCAUUUCAUAAAAGUAAAUACACCCAAAUUUGUAUGUCAGACUCUGCUUUCAGGAAAUCUCAAACUAAGAUAACUUGCUGUGUUCCCAAAGGUGGGUAAAGCAGGAAUCUGAGAUUUCCAAGGAAUCUCAAGAAAUGGAUGCUCGUCCUAAGUUGGAUCUGGGCUUCAAGGAAGGACAAACCAUCAAGUUGAGUAUCGGGAACAUUACAAACAAGAAAGGAGGUGCUUCCAAGCCCAGGACUGCAAGGGGUGGGGGCCUGAGCUUACUCCCACCCCCGCCAGGAGGCAAAGUCACUAUUCCCCCACCAUCCUCCUCAGUUGCCAUCAGCAAUCAUGUCACCCCACCACCCAUUCCGAAAUCUAACCAUGGAGGCAGUGAUGCAGAUAUCCUUUUAGAUUUGGAUUCUCCUGCUCCUGUCACGACACCAGCACCAACUCCAGUUUCUGCAAGCAAUGACUUGUGGGGAGACUUCAGCACUGCAUCCAGCUCUGUUCCAAACCAGGCACCACAGCCAUCCAACUGGGUCCAGUUCUGAAUGGCAUUGGCAGGACAUUAAGGACAGACUUGAGGAAUAAAAAUGACCUUGAGGGCACCAAUCUGUGAGGGAAGUUAGGAACCCAUUUCCUCCCCAGAAUCAAAAUGACUGGACAAUCUUUUUCGUAGCUUCUCCAUCACAUUCAAGCUGGUUUAUGUCACUCCCCUGUGUUGUUACUUGUACAGCCAAGAAAGUAUCUGUUAAUCUCCUGCUUAGUACCAAGGUAGGGGACUAGUGAAUCUUAUCAUAGUUUUGGCUGACUAUGCAGGGCUCAAAAGGCCAGCGUCUGUUUGAGGGGGAAUGACCUCUGACAUCUGUAAAAUUUGUCUCAUCUUUUAAAUUCUUUAACUUAUUUCAAAAUCAUCUCAUGACCCUCGUGUGCCUCUUUGUGAAGCCCUAUUUAGCAAUUUCAGGGGAGUCAAAAACCUUGCAACUUCCUUCUCCACUAACCCAGGACUAAAAAUGGACAGGCUGACCUUAGUGUUUACAAAUUCAGAAUUUUGAUAGGGGUAGAUAUGGAGAAAGACCUAUUUCCUGGGUCUCUGCUGUGUAGUCUCCUUCAGGCUUAUUGUACACAGUGAACAUCCAGUGCUGGGUGCAGCUCCAUCACCCUCUUGUGUGUUUACAUGUCUCUUUCUAUGAUAAGAGGGUUGUGUUGGUGGCACCUCCACUACUCUUUUCUGUUUGUUGAAUUUGAAUUGUGUAACAUCUUUGACCAGUGGGUGUUUCUGUAAUGAAGGAGGUUCAAGAGGCUGUGCUUUCCAAGUGAUAGUCUAUAGGAAUGUUUGAUUUCUUGCAGCUCCAUCUGGUUGCUGCAUUUGAAGCAUGGCAUUAAUUUGUAUUUGCCCUGUUGUUUGACCUUAAGUUGAAGGGUUUAGAGUUUUUAACCUGAUCUGUAGAGCAGAGAGGUUGAAAGCACUUAACUCUUGUUUAGUAUCCUCAUUGCCUUGCUGCCUGGGUAUCUGGCCCCUUUUCAUAAACAUUUCUUUUCAGUUCAUGUAGUUCUUUAAUAGAAAGCUGCUAUUAUGUAUAUUGUCAUUUGUGAAGGAAGUUGGAGAGUCACAGAUUUACUGUGACAGGUUUUGCCCAAGUCUGUGAUACCUGUCACCCAGGGUAUCUUAAAAGCAAGUUGUUCUCCCACUACUUUCCUUUCCCUCUGCCCUGCCAUUCCUUUUACAAUGCUGUGAAAAAAGUUCUGCUUCUUAGGUGAAUGGGUACUUUCUAUUUUGUUUCUAAAUGAGCAAUUUUGAGGAUGAAAUGGGAAGAUAUCAUUUCUUCCUUUUUGCACCUAUUAGGUAUGUACACUCUCUGGCUGAAGGGAGUCCUUAUGUUUAGUUUCAAAAUAUAUUACUUUCCUGGAUUCCCUUCUUAACGUUUUCUGACUUUGGGUCCAUUUUCUUUUCAUUGCCUCCUUUUCCAGGCAGCUCUAUUCUUGCAGAGCCAUGGCAGGACAUAUUAAAAUUCCAGUAGAAAACACUAAAAGGAAAGUCUGUAGAAUCACUAGUGACUAAAUACUGGGAACCUAUUUUCUCAAUCUUCCUCCAUGUUGUGUUCUUUGUAUUCUCAAGAUGAUAAUAUAUUAUGUAUUUGAAUUCCUGAAAAAUGGAAAAUGUUUAAGAUAUAUGUAUAUAAAGCAUAUGCUGUAUU
rnacentral:sRNA from 1 species